AUUGAACGCUGGCGGAAUGCUUUACACACGCAAGUCGAACGGUAGAGGGGGCAACCCCUCGAGAGUGGCGAACGGGUGAGUAAUAUAUCGGAACGUGCCCAGUCGUGGGGGAUAACGUAGCGAAAGUUACGCUAAUACCGCAUACGAUCUAAGGAUGAAAGCGGGGGAUCGCAAGACCUCGCGCGAUUGGAGCGGCCGAUAUCAGAUUAGGUAGUUGGUGGGGUAAAGGCUCACCAAGCCAACGAUCUGUAGCUGGUCUGAGAGGACGACCAGCCACACUGGAACUGAGACACGGUCCAGACUCCUACGGGAGGCAGCAGUGGGGAAUUUUGGACAAUGGACGCAAGUCUGAUCCAGCCAUUCCGCGUGCAGGAUGAAGGCCCUCGGGUUGUAAACUGCUUUUGUCAGGAAGAAAAGACUCCUGUUAAUACCGGGGGUUCAUGACGGUACCUGAAGAAUAAGCACCGGCUAACUACGUGCCAGCCGCCGCAGUAA
rnacentral:rRNA from 1 species